UUUCAUGAUGACAAAAGGCCACGAGGCCUGAUAAUCCCAGCUCGUCGAAUGCCUCACAAUAAACGCAGAGAGCAUUAUGAGAUACGAAACCCGAUCUGACUAA
rnacentral:snoRNA from 1 species